AUUGAACGCUGGCGGCAGGCCUAACACAUGCAAGUCGAACGAGUGGCGGACGGGUGAGUAAUGUCUGGGAAACUGCAUGAUGGAGGGGGAUAACUACUGGAAACGGUAGAUAAUACCGAAUACAAUCAAAUGUGCCCAGAUGGGAUUCGCUUGUUGGUGGGGUAACGGCUCACCAAGGCGACGAGCCCUAGCUGGUCUGAGCGGAUGACCAGCCACACGUGAACUGAGACACGGUCCAGACUCCUACGGGAGGCAGCAGUGGGGAAUAUUGCACAAUGGGCGCAAGCCUGAUGCAGCUAUGCCGCGUGUAUGAAGAAGGCCUUCGGGUUGUAAAGUACUUUCAGCGGGGAGGCUUUACCCGCAGAAGAAGCACCGGCUAACUCCGUGCCAGCAGCCGCGGUAAUUC
rnacentral:rRNA from 1 species